rnacentral:rRNA from 1 species
UACGGGGGGUGCGAGCGUUGUCCGGAAUCACUGGGCGUAAAGGGCGCGUAGGUGGCGGGACAAGCGUGCGGUGAAAGCCUGGGGCUCAACCCCGGGUCGGCCGUGCGAACUGUUUUGCUUGAGCACUGUAGAGGCAGGCGGAAUUCCGGGUGUAGCGGUGGAAUGCGUAGAGAUCCGGAAGAACACCGGUGGCGAAGGCGGCCUGCUGGGCAGUAGCUGACACUGAGGCGCGACAGCGUGGGGAGCAAACAGG